rnacentral:rRNA from 1 species
UCCUGGCUCAGGAUGAACGCUAGCUACAGGCUUAACACAUGCAAGUCGAGGGAACGAUAGAGAAAGCUUGCUUUUCUAGGCGUCGACCGGCGCACGGGUGAGUAACGCGUAUCCAACCUGCCCAUCACUUGGGGAUAACCUUGCGAAAGUAAGACUAAUACCCAAUGACGUCUCUAGAAGACAUCUGAAAGAGAUUAAAGAUUUAUCGGUGAUGGAUGGGGAUGCGUCUGAUUAGCUUGUUGGCGGGUAACGGCCCACCAAGGCGACGAUCAGUAGGGGUUCUGAGAGGAAGGUCCCCCACAUUGGAACUGAGACACGGUCCAAACUCCUACGGGAGGCAGCAGUGAGGAAUAUUGGUCAAUGGACGAGAGUCUGAACCAGCCAAGUAGCGUGCAGGAUGACGGCCCUAUGGGUUGUAAACUGCUUUUAUAAGGGAAUAAAGUGAGUCUCGUGAGACUUUUUGCAUGUACCUUAUGAAUAAGGACCGGCUAAUUCCGUG